rnacentral:rRNA from 1 species
GAUGAACGCUGGCGGCGUGCCUAAUACAUGCAAGUCGAGCGAACAGACGAGGAGCUUGCUCCUCUGACGUUAGCGGCGGACGGGCGAGUAACACGUGGAUAACCUACCUAUAUGUCUUGGAUAAUUUCGGGAAACCGGAGCCAAUACCGGAUCAUAUAUUUAACCGCAUGGUUCAAUAGUGAAAGACGGUUUUGCCGUCACUUAUAGAUGGAUCCGCGCCGCAUUAGCUAGUUGGUAAGGUAACGGCUAACCAAGGCAACGAUGCGUAGCCGAUCUGAGAGGAUGAUCGGCCACACUGGAACUGAGACACGGUCCAGACUCCUACGGGAGGCAGCAGUAGGGAAUCUUGCGCAAUGGGCGAAAGCCUGACGGAGCAACGCCGCGUGAGUGAUGAAGGCCUUCGGAUCGUAAAACUCUGUUAUUAGGGAAGAACAGAUGUGUAAGUAACUCUGCACGUCUUGACGGUACCUAAUCAGAAAGCCACGGCUAACUACGUG